rnacentral:tRNA from 1 species
GCGCCCGUAGCUCAAUUGGAUAGAGCGUUGGCCUCCGAAGCCAAAGGUUGUGGGUUCGACCCCCGCCGGGCGCA